UUACGGCUCUAAAGCCUUCUGUAUAACGUUUUAACGGUGGGCAGAGCGGUUUCUGUUGCGUCCCGUCCUGUACUUUUCACACCCACCUGUGAGAUAGGCGUUAAGCGUUAUGCACGCUUUAUAGAUGUAGAAAGUGAAGUACGGUUAAGGAGGCGGUGUGAAGUGUCAAAGCUAUGAAAUGUAGAACUGCAUUAGCCUUGGCUAAUUCCACGUCGUAUAUUCUUGCCAGUACACCACAGCUACCCACCAUUUUGGGGAUGGGAAACUGAUAGCUGGGGUCUACGAGAAAACAGUCUUGGAGCUAAAAAUGAAUAGGAAUAAUCCACAUGAGAGUUGCUCCUUCUGCCUGGGCCUGGGAAUGAGAAGACCUGUGGAGCUGAGCUACUGCUUACCCACAAGCUGCAUAUACAUAAAUCAGAAGCCAGCACUGGUUGUUGUGAGUCGCUUAGAUUUUGGGCUUGAUGAAGAUGACCUUAGGCACAGUGACCCUGAAGGCCACAUGUUAAAGACAGUGGAGCCACAGGAUGGAAGGAAGCUGGUUCCCUGAAUCAUCACUUGGCAGAGAGCUGACCACUAAUGAGGAUCAUGUGUUUUAGAUUUCACUUGACCAAUAAAUCAAUUUCAAUUUUGUUACACUGCUAAAA